rnacentral:lncRNA from 1 species
AAUGGAACCUUUUUUAAAAUGUGUUGAAUACCUAGCUUUGUUUGAUCCAGUCAUGGAGGAGCAUCUAAAUAAAAUAACUGAUUCAAAUACUACCAAAUGCCAUUAAAAAGAAAAUUGUAGAAGCUGCCCAUUCUGCAAAAUAAUUUUCAAUAAUACUGGACUGUACACCAGAUGUGAGUCAUGUUGAAUAAAUGACGAUAAUUUGUUUUGUGGAUAUGGAAAAGUCUGCAGAUGAAGUUCUAGUUCUUUUCUUUCAGGUAACUGCCCCGCUACAUAGAGCUACAUCCAAGACUUUCAUCAGAGCCUUUAAAAAAACUGAAGGAAUAAAGGAAUUGGUUGAGCAUGGGAAGAAGAACAGAUGGAACAUACAGAAAUAUAACCCCAUUCCUGAGGUAUUUCCAGCUGAACUAGUAGCAGAAAAUCACACCAGCGGGCAUGUUCUCAUGACACUUGAAGUCUAAUUCAGCAGAUUCAAGAAGGUGAGAAAGUUUGAAUACUCUUUGUUUAAGCAUUAGAACUG